CCUAAUUGCUGGCCUUUAAGUGUAGUUAUUUAUUAGUCAUUUUCUUGACUUGUAGUGGUUUCAUUGGAACAGGAGGAUGAAAAUACCUAUCAUUAGAGAGGACUAUCUGGUUGAUUGUGUCAAAAGACCAAAAACUUCCUUUUGAUCUAUAUACAAUUGAAGCCAUCAGAGAAGAGUCUAGCAUGGUCACUUAACGUGAAAGGGCGAAAUGCUGUACAUGAAUCAUCUGGCUUGCAAGAUUCUGGCCACUUCCUUGAGGAUGGAAAAAGCAUUUACAAUACAACUUUGAACAUGUCUGACCUUUCAACUACGUAAUUUCUUUUAUACUUCUUUUGAAGCACAUUUUUACCUUAAUUAUAUAAAUUGUUGUUGCUUUUUGUGGUUUAAAAUCCUUUGUGCUGUGGUCGCCUUACAAUUCUCUAUUCUCAAAGAUGAACUUGAAUUACAAAGUCUAUGCUAUUUACCUGGUAUUACCUGUGAGCAAGUUGUUUCAAAUUUUUUACUUUUAAUUAUUAUAUAGUAUCUCUCUCACUCUCUCUCACUCUCUCUCUUUCUUUUCUCCCUCUGUUUGUUUGUUUGUUUGUGUGGUGGUUGGGGAGGGGGGGAAUUUCCAUAGUUAUCCUUUUAUUUUCAAUGUGACACGGCAAUUGAAUUGCUAAUGCAGCUCAGUGAUUUUGAAGUAUCUUAAAUUUGAAACUCAUCUUAAUUAAAUUAAAAAAAGAUUGAGUUUCAUGUUUAAGAGAUGCAUACUCUUUCCAGUGGAAACCUAAAUGCUUUGGAUGUAUUGUGAUGGUGCCUGCAAAUACACUGGUUUAUACUCUUAUGGAAUUCAGGAUUCUCUACGAUGACAUACUGCAUAGAAAUGCGACAUAUGAAUCACUUGGUGGGGGGUUACUUUCUAAAUUCUGUUUCUACCUCACUUGAAUUUGCUUAACUGUAAUUUGUUGUGGAAUGGACUUAUGAAUUGAUAUAAUAUUCCCUUUUUAGAGCCCUCAUUUCCAUGUGCUUCUUUUUUUGUAUUAAUAAAUCUAAACUUUUGUUUGUUUUUCUCUUUGAAGUUACGAUAUCCUUUAAAUCAUUCAAGAGGAUAAAGGUUCAGGAUUAUGGGGGGUCAAUAAAGAGGUGGUCCCUAAGAAGAAAAAUAUUAACGAUGCAGGAAGCCAACUUGCACCCCCAUUAGGAGAAUUGAUGAAGAUGCUCUUUAAUGCAUACAGAUUUUGCUACCACAACCGCCUCUCCAUUGCCGAAAACUGCCGUACGUGCCUUGUCGAGGUCGAGAAGUCGCCAAAGCCCGUCGCUUCUUGCACCAUGCCCACUCUUCCAGUUGGUGUCUUCAGAAAGAAAGGUACCAAAUUAUAUAAAGCAAGCUUAAAGGAUGAAAAGCGUUUAGAUCAAUGGCUUCAUUGUUAAAUUAAGCAAGUGUUUUAGUAAAUAAAUUUAAUUUUCCCAUCAUGUUUACACCUUCAAAAUAUUCUGUAAAUGACAUUUGAUGUAGAAUUUUUUGUACAGAGGACAUCUUUUUUGUAUGAUUUUGUGUU